rnacentral:tRNA from 1 species
UGUAAAGUAAGCUAAUUGUUAAGCUAGUGGGUUCAUACCCCAAAUAUGAUUAUUUUCCUUUAUUA